CAAGACUGCAAAGUCAGAUGAGUGCCUACCCAUCCCGAAAGAGACUAUAAAAAAGAAGUGCCAGGGCCUCUCUUGACCUAACUCCACAUCUGCCGCUCCAUCGAAAGCAAGAAUGAAGUAUGCUGUGGUCUUUGCUGUAAUGUUGCUUGUGGCAAUCACAGCUGAACCCGGGGAAUGCGGCUUAAGAAAAUAUCUUUCUGGUGUCAAACUCAAAAUAAAAAAUACUAUUUGUCAACGUACCUUGACCAAGAUGAACAAAAGCUGUGCAAUUUUCCUUCAAGAAAACGGCUAUCAAGAAUGCUUGAAUAGCCCCAAGACUGCGGACCAGACUGCCGAGUCCCCUGAGGAGGAUCCAGUGCUUAUGGUCUAGUGGCUGAUUAACCGGCCUCCGUUGUUGGUGACCGGGAGGGACAGGGAUUCACAUGUACUCCGUUUUCACGCCUGCUUAACCUCUUCCAUAUUAUUAAUUGGUAUUGUUAAAUAUCUUUUUUACAGUAGGCCUACUGUAUAUGAAAACUCAGAUUUUUUUUUGAAUAAAUGUUACAGCAACUGGUACAGCAGAGAAAAGUCAAAUGGCAUUCUAGUGUAUUUUUUCCGUCCCAAUAAAAAAAUAUAUUGUUGCAUUACAAAUAUAGUUGAUCGUAUGUGGCUUAGCUCAGGAGGUAGAGCAGUUGUCAUGUAAGCCAAAGGUUGCUAGUUCGAUUCCCAGCUCCUCCUAGCUCCGAGUGUUGAUGUGUCCCUGAGCAGGACAAUUAACCCUAACCGCUCCUGAUGAGCUGGCUGUCGCCUUGCAUGGUUGACGCUGCCGACGUUGUGUCAAUGUGUGUAUUAACUGAUGUAAGUCGCUUUUUAUAUAAAUGCGUCUGCUAAAUGCCCUAAUUGUAAUUGUAA